UUCUUUCUCAUGGAUUUGACAGGCAGUCAACUUUUGUCUGGAAAAAAGUUAUCAUUUCAGAGGACAGUAAGUUUUAGUAGAAUAGCCACAUCAACAUUGCGUUGUUACGCCCCUUUCACCUUUUCUCACUCCGGAUCAGUCCGGCUUAAGCUCUCGGCGCGAACGCACCGGUCCCAACGUCUUGCGGUUUCCCGCCAAAAAAGAUGCCGCGGCCUAAGCAACAGACUAGAGAAGAAAGGUUGGAAAAAAGGAGGUUGUAUGAAAGAAGAAGAAAAGAGAGAAUUAAGAGCAAUGAAGUCUCACGCGAAGAGUUUUUGAGAAAAGACAGAGAAAGGUAUGCCAGAAAAAAAGCAGCGGAAUUAAUUGUUUCAAGGCCCCUAAAAAAUUAAGAAUUCUAAGAAGAAAAAACAAAAUAAGUGCUGCUGCUUAUUACCAAAGAAAAAAAAAUAGAGCAGCUCCAGCUCCUAUAGCGGCUCGUGCUAACCCUCUGGAUGAGACAAUUGGGGAUCAAAGUGAUGGUCCUGGACUAAGCACUUCCUGUCACAGUUCCUUCUUGCCUGCUUUACGGCGCAGCUUACGAUUGAACAGCAAUAGUAUUAGUACGAAUAUCCAAAUCCAACGUUCUAAUACUACAGAAGCUAGAAACUUUCAUCGGGUAUACACAAGCAGUCCACGACAAACCCUGCUAUCAACGCAUCAAAAUUUUGUAAAUUUUGACUAUAGCAAUCCUGGUCCAAGCACUUCUCAAGGGAAUCCAUCUUCGGCUCGGCGCUGCUUGCCGAUGAAUAGCGAUAGUACAAUUGGUUCCAAUAUUCAACAUCAUAUUGAUGACAAUGUAGUAACUGGCACUCAUUGUGUACAACCAAGUGGCGUACAACGGUUAUUGUAACCUCAAAGAAUGAUAUAUGUAAUAAUACUAACUGUAAUAUCUGUAUAUUAAUGAUGAUAUUAAAAAAACUGUGUACUGUCCUG